rnacentral:rRNA from 1 species
UACGUAGGGUGCGAGCGUUGUCCGGAAUUAUUGGGCGUAAAGGGCUCGUAGGCGGUUUGUCGCGUCGGGAGUGAAAACCCAGGGCUUAACUCUGGGCUGGCUUUCGAUACGGGCAGACUAGAGGUAUGCAGGGGAGAACGGAAUUCCUGGUGUAGCGGUGAAAUGCGCAGAUAUCAGGAGGAACACCGGUGGCGAAGGCGGCUCACUGGCCCGUAACUGACGCUCAUGCACGACAGCGUGGGGAUCAAACAGG